CCUACGGGGGGCUGCAGUGAGGAAUAUUGCGCAAUGGAGGCAACUCUGACGCAGCCAUGCCGCGUGCAGGAAGAAGGCGCUACGCGUUGUAAACUGCUUUUAUCAGGGAAGAAACCCCAGGACGUGUCCUGGGUUGACGGUACCUGAGGAAUAAGCACCGGCUAACUUCGUGCCAGCAGCCGCGGUAAUACGAAGGGUGCAAGCGUUAUCCGGAUUCAUUGGGUUUAAAGGGUGCGUAGGCGGAACAUUAAGUCAGUGGUGAAAUCCUGCAGCUCAACUGUAGACUUGCCAUUGAUACUGAUAUUCUUGAGUGCGCUUGAAGUAGGCGGAAUAUGUCGUGUAGCGGUGAAAUGCUUAGAUAUGACAUAGAACACCAAUUGCGAAGGCAGCUUACUAAGGCGAUACUGACGCUGAGGCACGAAAGCGUGGGGAGCGAACAGGAUUAGAUACCCUAGUAGUC
rnacentral:rRNA from 1 species